UACGUAGGGCGCAAGCGUUAUCCGGAAUUAUUGGGCGUAAAGAGCGUGUAGGCGGCUCGGUAAGUCCGCUGUGAAAGUCGGGGGCUCAACCCUCGAAUGCCGGUGGAUACUGUCGAGCUAGAGUGCGGAAGAGGCGAGUGGAAUUCCUGGUGUAGCGGUGAAAUGCGCAGAUAUCAGGAGGAACACCGAUUGCGAAGGCAGCUCGCUGGGACGUUACUGACGCUGAGACGCGAAAGCGUGGGGAGCAAACAGG
rnacentral:rRNA from 1 species